rnacentral:rRNA from 1 species
UAGAGUUUGAUCAUGGCUCAGGACGAACGCUGGCGGCGUGCUUAACACAUGCAAGUCAAGGAGAAAGGUUCCUUCGGGAAACGAGUAAACUGGCGAACGGGUGAGUAACACGUAGGUAACCUGCCCUAGAGACUGGGAUAACUCCGCGAAAGCGGUGCUAAUACUGGAUAAUGCAGCGGGUCCUUCGGGACAUUGUUGUUAAAGCUGGCUUCGGCUAGCACUUUAGGAUGGGCCUGCGUCCGAUUAGUUAGUUGGUGAGGUAAUGGCUCACCAAGGCGAUAAUCGGUAGCUGGUCUGAGAGGAUGAUCAGCCACACUGGGAUUGAGAUACGGCCCAGACUCCUACGGGAGGCAGCAGUGGGGAACUUUGCGCAAUGGGCGAAAGCCUGACGCAGCAACGCCGCGUGACCGAUGAAGCUUCUAGGAGUGUAAAGGUCUGUCGUGAGGGAAGAAAAAUCCGGAUGUAAAUAAUGUUCGGACGUGACGGUACCUCACAAGAAAGCACCGGCUAACUUAGUGCCAGCAGCCGCGGUAAUACUAGGGGUGCUAGCGUUGUCCGGAAUCACUGGGCGUAAAGGGUCCGUAGGCGUUUUGCUAAGUUGAUUGUUAAAUCCAUCGGCUCAACCGAUGAUCUGCAAUCAAAACUGGCAGAAUAGAGUUCGAGAGAGGAAAGUGGAAUUCCUGGUGUAGCGGUGACAUGCGUAGAUAUCAGGAGGAACACCAAUGGCGAAGGCAGCUUUCUGGCUCGAUACUGACGCUGAGGGACGAAAGCGUGGGGAGCGAACAGGAUUAGAUACCCUGGUAGUCCACGCCGUAAACGAUGAGUACUUGAUGAUGGA